CACCUGGAAAAAGAAAGUAAAGAGCUUCUCUACGGGAGCUGUAAGGGAUAAUCCCUUCUGUGGGUCAGUGUGUGGGAAAGGCAGCCUCGUGCAUGCGGUCGUCCCACCCCUGCUUGGCCAUCCAUAGGUAAAUGUUUGAGGCUUUGGUCAGUCUGAGAAGCAUCUCGAGAAACUGGAAUCCUGAAGAAGUAUUAUUUUUCCAUGGAUUGACACAGAUGAGCAAGGAAAACCUGCCAGCACCCCGAAGUCUUCGCCGAAGGAGGCAGAAUACAGAUGCUUAGUAGCUUCCUAUAUUCAAAAUAAACUCAGUGUAAGUGCUCUCAA